rnacentral:rRNA from 1 species
CAGUCGCACGGUAACAGGAGAAGCUUGCUUCUUGCUGACGAGUGGCGGACGGGUGAGUAACGCGUAGGAAUCUGCCCAUCUGUGGGGGAUACCAGUUGGAAACGACUGUUAAUACCGCAUAAUAUCUGCGGAUUAAAGGUGGCCUUUGUGCUGCCGCAGAUGGAUGAGCCUGCGUUAGAUUAGCUUGUUGGUGGGGUAAAGGCCUACCAAGGCUACGAUCUAUAGCUGAUUUGAGAGGAUGAUCAGCCACAUUGGGACUGAGACACGGCCCAAACUCCUACGGGAGGCAGCAGUGGGGAAUAUUGGACAAUGGGGGAAACCCUGAUCCAGCAAUGCCAUGUGUGUGAAGAAGGCUCUAGGGUUGUAAAGCACUUUAGUUGGGGAGGAAAGCCUAUGAGUUAAUAGCUUGUAGGAAGGACGUUACCCAAAGAAUAAGGACCGGCUAACUCCGUGCCAGCAGCCGCGGUAAUACGGGGGGUCCGAGCGUUAAUCGGAAUUACUGGGCGUAAAGGGUCUGUAGGUGGUUUGUUAAGUCAGAUGUGAAAGCCCAGGGCUCAACCUUGGAACUGCAUUUGAUACU